UACGUAGGCAGCGAGCGUUGUUCGGAAUUACUGGGCGUAAAGAGCUCGUAGGCGGUUCGUCACGUCGGCUGUGAAAUCCCGAGGCUCAACCUCGGGUCUGCAGUCGAUACGGGCGGACUUGAGUACUGCAGGGGAGACUGGAAUUCCUGGUGUAGCGGUGAAAUGCGCAGAUAUCAGGAGGAACACCGGUGGCGAAGGCGGGUCUCUGGGCAGUAACUGACGCUGAGGAGCGAAAGCGUGGGGAGCGAACAGG
rnacentral:rRNA from 1 species